rnacentral:rRNA from 1 species
UACGGAGGGUGCAAGCGUUAUCCGGAUUUACUGGGUUUAAAGGGUGCGUAGGUGGGCAGGUAAGUCAGUGGUGAAAUCUCCGGGCUUAACCCGGAAACUGCCAUUGAUACUAUCUGUCUUGAAUAUCCUGGAGGUAAGCGGAAUAUGUCAUGUAGCGGUGAAAUGCUUAGAUAUGACAUAGAACACCAAUUGCGAAGGCAGCUCGCUACGGGAUUAUUGACACUGAGGCACGAAAGCAUGGGGAGCGAACAGG